GACACCGAAAGCUUCGCUGUUGUCCGGCAUGGUAGUGCUAAAGGUCGCUGUCCGUUCAGCCCCUUCGAGAGGAGCACCGCCCUCAUUGUCGAUGGCGAGCUGUUUGCCGCCACAACCGUCGACUUCAGAGGAGUCAAACCUCAGAUUUCUCGACACUUCAGCAAAGAUGGCCACCCAGAUGUCAGCCAGGACUCAUCUGUCAGUUUACUGGAGGAGCCAACAUUUGUCAGCUCGGUGCUGGACCCGGCAGAGAGGAAGCUGUA